GAGAGGAACGAAGGGGAAGCAGAUGGAGGAGAUCCACUCACGGGAUUCUGCGUUGUUGAUUUGUGUGUGGAAGUAUCGUGGGUUUUGCCUGCCUCCAUUGUUGCUCGUCUGCUGAAAUAAGUUGUACCCCAGCAGGCCCCUCUUCAGGUCCAGCGGGGUUCUCUGGUAUGUCGUGGUGGAAGAGUUGGUAGCCCUGCACAUGUCCAUCCGAGAAUUACGUCACAGGUGGGCACAAGCCGCAGUCAUUCGCCGGCGCCUCCCUGCAGUCUCAGGUAGCAGCGGCGAUGCGUAGUGCUGUUGCUUUGUAUUGAGUGAGCGUGAAUGAACCCUCGUGACGAUAUAUGGUGAUGGACGUGUGGGCCUUUACGUUGUGGAAACAGAAGUUGAGGGGCGGGGAACACUUAAUGGGUGGAUGACCACUAUCAGGGCCGCCAUUCCACCGCAUUCAUGGCCACCCUACCCGCGCUCAUCCAGUCACGUCCCCUUAGUGCAGCGCCCCUCAUCUGUAUGUAUGCUGAAGAGACACGGAAAAAUGAACACUCAUGUCUCUGUGAAAUAUUGUGCGCCAUAAAGUCUCUUGUCCUCUA